CAGUCGCCGCGGUAAUACGGAGGGUGCAAGCGUUAAUCGGAAUUACUGGGCGUAAAGCGCACGCAGGCGGUCUGACAAGUCAGAUGUGAAAUCCCCGGGCUUAACCUGGGAACUGCAUUUGAAACUGUCAGGCUGGAGUCUUGUAGAGGGGGGUGGAAUUCCAGGUGUAGCGGUGAAAUGCGUAGAGAUCUGGAGGAAUACCGGUGGCGAAGGCGGCCCCCUGGACAAAGACUGACGCUCUGGUGCGAAAGCGUGGGGAGCAAACAGGAUUAGAUACCCCUGUAGUCCCUGUCUCUUAUAC
rnacentral:rRNA from 1 species